GAUGAAGAACGUAGUGAAAUGCGAUAAGUAAUGUGAAUUGCAGAAUUCAGUGAAUCAUCGAAUCUUUGAACGCACAUUGCGCCCGCCAGUAUUCUGGCGGGCAUGCCUGUUCGAGCGUCAUUACAACCCUCAGGCCCCCGGGCCUGGCGUUGGGGAUCGGCGGAGCCCCCCGUGGGCACACGCCGUCCCCCAAAUACAGUGGCGGUCCCGCCGCAGCUUCCAUCGCGUAGUAGCUAACACCUCGCGACUGGAGAGCGGCGCGGCCACGCCGUAAAACACCCAACUCUUCUGAAGUUGACCUCGAAUCAGGUAGGGAUACCCGCUGAACUUAAGCAUAUCAAUAAGCGGAGGA
rnacentral:misc_RNA from 1 species